CCUACGGGCGGCUGCAGUGGGGAAUAUUGGACAAUGGGGGGAACCCUGAUCCAGCCAUGCCGCGUGUGUGAAGAAGGCCCUCGGGUUGUAAAGCACUUUCAGUGAGGAAGAACGCCUGGUGGUUAAUACCCAUCAGGAAAGACAUCACUCACAGAAGAAGCACCGGCUAACUCCGUGCCAGCAGCCGCGGUAAUACGGAGGGUGCGAGCGUUAAUCGGAAUUACUGGGCGUAAAGCGCGCGUAGGUGGCUUGAUAAGCCGGUUGUGAAAGCCCCGGGCUCAACCUGGGAACGGCAUCUGGAACUGUCAAGCUAGAGUGCAGGAGAGGAAGGUAGAAUUCCCGGUGUAGCGGUGAAAUGCGUAGAGAUCGGGAGGAAUACCAGUGGCGAAGGCGGCCUUCUGGACUGACACUGACACUGAGGUGCGAAAGCGUGGGUAGCAAACAGGAUUAGAUACCCCGGUAGUC
rnacentral:rRNA from 1 species